rnacentral:rRNA from 1 species
CACUCCUGCGGGAGGCAGCAGUGGGGAAUAUUGCACAAUGGGCGCAAGCCUGAUGCAGCCAUGCCGCGUGUAUGAAGAAGGCCUUCGGGUUGUAAAGUACUUUCAGCGGGGAGGAAGGCGAUAAGGUUAAUAACCUUGUUGAUUGACGUUACCCGCAGAAGAAGCACCGGCUAACUCCGUGCCAGCAGCCGCGGUAAUACGGAGGGUGCAAGCGUUAAUCGGAAUUACUGGGCGUAAAGCGCACGCAGGCGGUCUGUCAAGUCGGAUGUGAAAUCCCCGGGCUCAACCUGGGAACUGCAUUCGAAACUGGCAGGCUAGAGUCUUGUAGAGGGGGGUAGAAUUCCAGGUGUAGCGGUGAAAUGCGUAGAGAUCUGGAGGAAUACCGGUGGCGAAGGCGGCCCCCUGGACAAAGACUGACGCUCAGGUGCGAAAGCGUGGGGAGCAAACAGGAUUAGAAACCCCGGUAGUCCCA